AACGAACGCUGGCGGCAUGCCUAACACAUGCAAGUCGAACGACACCUUCGGGUCUAGUUGCGCACAGGUGCGUCAAGCGUCGGAACCUGCCCUUAGACUCGGAAUUACUCUUUGAAGGGGGUGCUAAUACAGGAAAACGUACUCUAACAACAGAUGUAUCGUCUUUGUAGGGGCACGCGUUCGUCUAGCCUUGUGCUAUGGUAAAAGCCUACCAAGGCGUCGCUACAUAGCUGGGCUGAGAGGAUGAGCAGCGACACUGGGACUAGGACACGGCGCAGACUCUUGCGCGAGGCAGCAGUGGGGAAUACUGGACAACGGGCGAGAGCAUGAAGCAGCUAGGGCGCGUGAGUGAUGAAGUCCUGAGGGAUGUAAAGCACGUUUACCCGGGAUGAUAAUGACAGUACCGGGAGAAUAAGCUCCGGCUAACUCCGUG
rnacentral:rRNA from 1 species